rnacentral:rRNA from 1 species
GAUGAACGCUGGCGGCGUGCCUAAUACAUGCAAGUCGAGCGAACAGACGAGGAGCUUGCUCCUCUGACGUUAGCGGCGGACGGGUGAGUAACACGUGGAUAACCUACCUAUAAGACUGGGAUAACUUCGGGAAACCGGAGCUAAUACCGGAGAAUAUAUUGAACCGCAUGGUUCAAUGGUGAAAGACGGUUUUGCUGUCACUUAUAGAUGGAUCCGCGCCGCAUUAGCUGGUUGGUAAGGUAACGGCUUACCAAGGCAACGAUGCGUAGCCGACCUGAGAGGGUGAUCGGCCACACUGGAACUGAGACACGGUCCAGACUCCUACGGGAGGCAGCAGUAGGGAAUCUUCCGCAAUGGGCGAAAGCCUGACGGAGCAACGCCGCGUGAGUGAUGAAGGUCUUCGGAUCGUAAAACUCUGUUAUUAGGGAAGAACAAAUGUGUAAGUAACUAUGCACGUCUUGACGGUACCUAAUCAGAAAGCCACGGCUAACUACGUG